ACUCAAAUGAAUAGACGGGGGUCCGCACAAGCGGUGGAACAUGUGGUUUAAUUCGACACUACGCGAGGAACCUUACCUAGGUUUGACAUGUUUAUGACAACUCUAGAGAUAGAGCUUUCCAAGGGAAACCUUGGACAUAUUCACAGGUGCUGCAUGGCUGUCGUCAGCUCGUGUCGUGAGAUGUUGGGUUAAGUCCUAUAACGAGCGCAACCCCUGCUGUCAGUUGCAACCUCGUAAGAGGGCACUCUGAUGGGACUGCCUGGGAAACCAGGAGGAAGGUGGGGAUGAUGUCAAGUCCGCAUGGUCCUUAUGCCUAGGGCUACACACGUGUUACAAUGGCCAAUACAAAGGGCUGCUAAGUCGCAAGAUGGAGCCAAUCCCAGAAAGUUGGUCUAAGUUCAGAUUGAGGUCUGCAACCCGACCUCAUGAAGUUGAAAUCGCUAGUAAUCGCAUAUCAGAACGAUGCGGUGAAUACGUUCUCGGACCUUGUACACACCGCCCGU
rnacentral:rRNA from 1 species